rnacentral:rRNA from 1 species
GACGAACGCUGACGGUGUGCUUUAGACAUGCAAGUCGAACGAGAAAGCCCUUCGGGGUUAGUAAAGUGGCGAACGGGUGAGUAACACGUGGGCAAUCUGCCCCCUCGCAGGGGGACAACCGGAGGAAACUCCGGCUAAUACCCCGUAAGUUCAAAGGGAGGCAUCUCUCUUCGAAGAAAGGUAGCUUCGGCCAUCCGGCGAGGGAUGAGCCCGCGGUGCAUUAGCUAGUUGGUGGGGUAACGGCCUACCAAGGCGACGAUGCAUAGCUGGUCUGAGAGGAUGAUCAGCCACACUGGGACUGAGACACGGCCCAGACUCCUACGGGAGGCAGCGAGUCGGGAAUCUUGCGCAAUGGGCGAAAGCCUGACGCAGCAACACCGUGUGUGU